CCAAACACAACAAACAACUGAAGCCAAAGCGGAUCCCGCUCGAAAGAGCGCCGCGCACAAAACAAAAGACAACUCUCAACAACGGAUAUCUUGGCUCCCGCAUCGAUGAAGAACGCAGCGAAAUGCGAUACGUAGUGUGAAUUGCAGAAUUCCGUGAAUCAUCGAAUCUCUGAACGUAUAUUGCGCUCGAGACUUCGGUCGAGAGCAUGCCUGUCUCAGCGUCGGCUCACCCCUCGCCCACCCUUCCCUUUUAACUAAAGGAAAGCGGCAGGCGGACGUGGCCGUCUCUCUUUCAAAUCGAAUGAGGGUCGGCUGAAGUGCAGGGCUCGCGGCGCGACCCUCUCAUUCGAUAGGGCGCCAGCAUGGUAGGUGGCUUCACGCUGCAUGCCGCUGUCGUUCCAAUUGAAUGGGCAGAAAGUCGGACUUGCCGCACGGCCAUUAAGCAGGAACUUUGGGGCCUUUCAUUAGGACUCAAACAAAUCUUUCGACCUGAGAUCAGACAAGACCACCCGCUGAACUUAAGCAUAUCAAUAAGCGGAGGAA
rnacentral:rRNA from 1 species